AGAUACUAGGAUUCCCUUAGUAGCUGCGAGCGAACAGGGACGAGCCCAGCACUGAAUCCUGCGCGCCUAGCGCGCGUCUGGAAAUGUAGUGUUUGGGAGGGGCCGAUCAUCUCGUGAGAGCGCACCAGUCCAAGUCCAUCUUGAAAGCGGCCACAGCCCGUAGAGGGUGCCAGGCCCGUAGGACGGUGGCGACGUACUCGAACGAAAGGUCCUCUCCCUAGAGUCGGGUUGCUUGAGAGUGCAGCUCUAAGCGGGUGGUAAACUCCAUCUAAGGCUAAAUACGACCACAAGACCGAUAGCGAACAAGUACCGUGAGGGAAAGUUGAAAAGAACUUUGAAGAGAGAGUUCAAGAGUACGUGAAACCGUUCGGGGGUAAACGGACGAAAUCUGGAAAAUCGAGGCGAGAGAUUCAAGCCCCAGCCGCCGUGUGUCGAGCGGCGUCCGCCGAUGGCGGCCCGGCGCCCGCGUGUCGCAGCAAUGCGCGCCGGUGUCGUUUGGCCCGUUCACUGUCGGGCGCAACUCGCGCCGGCCUCGGGCCGCACUUUUCUCGUAGUAGUACGUCGCGACCCGUUGGGCGCGCGUCUAAGGCCCGCACACGGAGCCGAUCUCGGUCGGCACGCGUCCGCUCCGCUCUCAGGCGGUGGCGGUCGUGUGCCGCGCCCGGUCGCCCGCGGUGACCCGAUGCGCACCCGACGGUAGAGGCAAAGACGAUUCGCAUGUCGUGCGGCAUCUCUCGGGUGUUGCGCGGCGCGUUCCCUCUGAAGCGCGCUCUUAGUUGAGUGCGGGACAGGGUGGUCCGUCUAGUCGGCGGCGCUCUAUCCGGAGCAUCAUCCGACCCGUCUUGAAACACGGACCAAGGAGUCUAACAUGUGCGCGAGUCAUUGGGACCGUACGAAACCUAGAGGCGUAAUGAAAGUGAACGUCGGCCGCCUCGGCGGCCGGCGGAGGGGAGAUGGCGGCCGGCCGAGCGUCGCGCCGCCCGCAUCCCCGGGGCGUCUCGUUGUCAUUGCGACACAGCAGGCGCACCCAGAGCGUACACGUUGGGACCCGAAAGAUGGUGAACUAUGCCUGGUCAGGUCGAAGUCAGGGGAAACCCUGAUGGAGGACCGUAGCGAUUCUGACGUGCAAAUCGAUCGUCAGAGCUGGGUAUAGGGGCGAAAGACUAAUCGAACCAUCUAGUAGCUGGUUCCCUCCGAAGUUUCCCUCAGGAUAGCUGGCACUCGGAGUUUUUACCAUUGUGUGCGGUCCGUCGGCGGCGGCGCUUCGGCGUCGCCGUGCGCGCGCACACGGCAACCAGUCUCAUCUGGUAAAGCGAAUGAUUAGAGGCCUUGGGGCCGAAACGACCUCAACCUAUUCUCAAACUUUAAAUGGGUGAGACAUUCGACUUGCUUAAAUGCCAAUGUCGUUGAAGUCUAAAUACGGAUGAAAGAGUGCCAAGUGGGCCAAUUUUGGUAAGCAGAACUGGUGCUGUGGGAUGAACCAAACGUCGCGUUAAGGCGCCUAAAUCGAUGCUCAUGGGAUACCAUGAAAGGCGUUGGUUGCUUAAGACAGCAGGACGGUGGCCAUGGAAGUCGGAAUCCGCUAAGGAGUGUGUAACAACUCACCUGCCGAAGCAACUAGCCCUGAAAAUGGAUGGCGCUCAAGCAUCGUGCCUAUACGCGACCGUCACUGGCAAACGGGCCGCGCCGCCCUCGCGGGUGAGGCCGGUCCACGAGGUCGUGACGAGUAGGAGGGUCGCGACGGUGUGCGCAGAAGUGUUGGUCGCGAGACUGCAUGGAGCCGCCGUCGGUGCAGAUCUUGGUGGUAGUAGCAAAUACACUAGCGAGGCCCUGGUGGACUGAUGUGGAGAAGGGUUUCGUGUGAACAGCCGUUGCACACGAGUCAGUCGAUCCUAAGCCCCAGGAGAAUUCCGAUGUUGAUGUGCUGUCGUUUUCUCGAAAACACGUACGUGUGCAAAUACUGCGUGCAAUCUGAUUGACCACAUCGGGCGAAAGGGAAUCCGGUUCCUAUUCCGGAACCCGGCUGCGGAACCGACAUGCGGGCCACUCUGCAGCAAUGCAGAACUCGUCGGGGUAACCCAAAAGGACCCGGAGACGCCGUCGGAUGAUCGAGGCAGAGUUUUCUGUUCUGUAUGAGCGUUCGAGUUCCCUGGAAUCGCCUAGCGCGGAGAUAGGGUUUGGAACGCGAAGAGCACCGCACUUGCGGCGGUGUCUCGAUCUAUCCCUCGGACCUUGAAAAUCCGGGAGAGGGCCACGUGGAGGUGUCGCGCCGGUUCGUACCCAUAUCCGCAGCAGUCUCCAAGUGAGGA
rnacentral:rRNA from 1 species